AUAUCCAAGAUACCGACGAUAUGCACUCUAUCCAGUUCAGUUGCUGCUUUUAUAAUAUCACCUAAAAGUAAAAAGCAGAUGAAGCCAUUUUUUCCUGCUUAGGCAGCAACAAGAUGGAAGCAGACUGGAUUCGUGAAUUGCUGUUGGGAAGAGAGCUGAUGACUGAUUGCAUCAGACUUGAGCAAGAAAUAAACUUCUUGAGUUAAAGUG